CACUGAGUCCACCAGACUCUUUGCGAAGUAGCAGUCUUCUACGAUGCGACAGCGGCAGUUUCUUAAACUGCGGUGCAGAGUCAACUCAACCAGUCAUAACUUUUAAAGGCUAGAACAUAAUAUCUGAAAACAUACAUUACAAGAAGAGUCUUCAGUCUCUGCACCCGGAAGCUUGAUUUUUAUUUUGUCACAUGGCUAGCAAGAGAUUUCAAUAACAAAAAAUGGCGACAAUCACGUUGUUCAAUGUGGUCUUGCUGCGUCAUUAAAGAUAUUUAUGUAAACACGGGGAAGAAAAAGGAAAUUUGCGGGCUGGGACAACGCUGCCUCUACGACACUGAUGCCAAACGCGACAAACUGAGUUGUUUACAUGAAGGGGUCAGCACGGAGGGCGGGGCGCCAGGAGGAGGAGGCUGUUUCAACAGGCGACGCGACUGGACUACUGGAGAGUAACCAAGAGAGGAGGGCGGAGUCACCAGCAAACCAUAACAAGUCUGACGUCAGCAUUGUGUGGUGUGCCCUGUGAUGACUCUCCCCAGUUAUGAAGGUGGCUGGCUGACACAAGGAACUUCCACAGCAACAGCACUGCUAGAUGUGACGGGCUGCCCUGGUUCAGUUCUCACAGUGCUGAUGCUGUCCAUUUCAAAGGUACAGUACUGUGAUAACUGAAGGAUGGCAGCCAUCUUGGCUCCACUUGCCCAGUGUGCAACGCUAGCGACACUAACCCCAUUAUAGCAGUGUACAUAGUUUUCCUGUUAAAGCCAAUUCUGAGGUAUGCUUAUUAGCCAUUCGUGGAUCAAAUGUCAUGAAAUUAUGUAAUUUCUGUCUACGGUGUGUUUCAUGGACACUUUUUUUGAUGAAGAUCCACUGGCUGUUUUUAACUUCUAAUUUAACAAAAGAAAAAUGGACAAGACAAAAAAAUAUAUAAUCUUUUGCCACUUGUACUAAUGAUCAUGGGCUAUUUUUGUGUUCAGUAUUUUGAAACAAAUGCAUGUUAGAUUAUGUGCUUAAUAAAGAUCAUUGCUUUGAAA